AGCCUCUCUUUUUUAUUCCCUACGAAAAGCCUCAGCGCCGGUGUUCUUCUUCUAUGCACCAAACAAAGAUCAGCUAUCUCAACUCGUUUUUUUGUGAAAUGGCUAGACAAGAAAAAAUCUGCUUAACUUACACUCGUAAAACAUGAAUUUGAGUGUUUUGGGAAAAAAGCUGUUCUCCAACACAAUGUGUUUAAAUUGUGUAGUUACUAACCAUCAAGUUACCAUUUUCGUAAUAUAAAUUCAAAUUUUAUCACACGAAUUAAAAACAAGUCACUCUUUCCUUCUUCGUGAAUGCG